rnacentral:rRNA from 1 species
CAGAAGAGGACAGUGGAACUCCAUGUGUAGCGGUGAAAUGCGUAGAUAUAUGGAAGAACACCAGUGGCGAAGGCGGCUGUCUGGUCUGUAACUGACGCUGAGGCUCGAAAGUAUGGGUAGCAAACAGGAUUAGAUACCCUGGUAGUCCAUACCGUAAACGAUGAAUGCUAAGUGUUGGAGGGUUUCCGCCCUUCAGUGCUGCAGCUAACGCAUUAAGCAUUCCGCCUGGGGAGUACGGCCGCAAGGCUGAAACUCAAAGGAAUUGACGGGGGCCCGCACAAGCGGUGGAGCAUGUGGUUUAAUUCGAAGCUACGCGAAGAACCUUACCAGGUCUUGACAUGCUAUGCAAAUCUAAGAGAUUAGACGUUCCCUUCGGGGACAUGGAUGCAGGUGGUGCAUGGUUGUCGUCAGCUCGUGUCGUGAGAUGUUGGGUUAAGUCCCGCAACGAGCGCAACCCUUAUUAUCAGUUGCCAGCAUUAAGUUGGGCACUCUGGUGAGACUGCCGGUGACAAACCGGAGGAAGGUGGGGAUGACGUCAAAUCAUCAUGCCCCUUAUGACCUGGGCUACACACGUGCUACAAUGGAUGGUACAACGAGUUGCGAACUCGCGAGAGUAAGCUAAUCUCUUAAAGUCAUUCUCAGUUCGGAUUGUAGGCUGCAACUCGCCUACAUGAAGUCGGAAUCGCUAGUAAUCGCGGAUCAGCAUGCCGCGGUGAAUACGUUCCCGGGCCUUGUACACACCGCCCGUCACACCAUGAGAGUUUGUAACACCCAAAGUCGGUGGGGUAACCUUUUAGGAACCAGCCGCCUAAGGUGGGACAGAUGAUUAGGGUGAAGUCGUAACAAGGUAGCCGUA